CCUACGUGCGGCAGCAGUGGGGAAUAUUGGACAAUGGGGGGAACCCUGAUCCAGCGACGCCGCGUGAGUGAAGAAGUAUUUCGGUAUGUAAAGCUCUAUCAGCAGGGAAGAAAGAAAUGACGGUACCUGACUAAGAAGCCCCGGCUAACUACGUGCCAGCAGCCGCGGUAAUACGUAGGGGGCAAGCGUUAUCCGGAUUUACUGGGUGUAAAGGGGGCGUAGACGGCGAUGCAAGUCUGAAGUGAAAGGCGGGGGCCCAACCCCCGGACUGCUUUGGAAACUGUAUGGCUGGAGUGCAGGAGAGGUAAGUGGAAUUCCUAGUGUAGCGGUGAAAUGCGUAGAUAUUAGGAGGAACACCAGUGGCGAAGGCGGCUUACUGGACUGUAACUGACGUUGAGGCUCGAAAGCGUGGGGAGCAAACAGGAUUAGAUACCCCAGUAGUC
rnacentral:rRNA from 1 species